rnacentral:rRNA from 1 species
CCUACGGGAGGCUGCAGUGGGGAAUAUUGCACAAUGGGGGAAACCCUGAUGCAGCGACGCCGCGUGAGUGAAGAAGUAUUUCGGUAUGUAAAGCUCUAUCAGCAGGGAAGAAAAUGACGGUACCUGUUUAAGAAGCCCCGGCUAACUACGUGCCAGCAGCCGCGGUAAUACGUAGGGGGCAAGCGUUAUCCGGAUUUACUGGGUGUAAAGGGAGCGUAGACGGCAGCACAAGUCUGGAGUGAAAUGCCGGGGCUUAACCCCGGAACUGCAUUGGAAACUGUGCAGCUAGAGUGCAGGAGAGGUAAGUGGAAUUCCGAGUGUAGCGGUGAAAUGCGUAGAUAUUAGGAGGAACACCAGUGGCGAAGGCGGCUUACUGGACAGUAACUGACGUUGAGGCUCGAAAGCGUGGGGAGCAAACAGGAUUAGAUACCCUUGUAGUC